ensembl:lncRNA
GGUUAGGGUUAGGGUCUUGGGUUGGGGUCAGGGCCAGGCUUGAGAUAAAGUUCAGGUCAGAGUAUGGGUCUGCGUCAGGCGCAGUGUCACGUUCAGUGCCACUGUUUGGGUCAGGAACUGUUGUCAUUCCAUAUCGUUUCCCAUUAAGUGUUCUUUAGCUAUUUUUGGAGAAGUUGGGGGAUAUUGGGCUCCAUUCAGCUUGAAUUUUCAGAAUUUAACGGACUCAGCUGGACCCAGGGAGGGAGCAGGUGCUUCCAUGAACGGUGAGCUCACCUAGUCCUGCACUGCCUCCACCGCCUGCAGAGGGCGCAGGACCCCAGCUCCCACCCGCAGCCGGGCAUGCGCAGACGCUGUGAUGGGAGCCUGGUCUCCUCAGGACCCGCUGUGGAGGCUUCGGGGGAAUGUGAGGGCAGCGUCCACGCUGACAGGAGCUCGGCCUCCUCAGGACCCGCCGGGGGAGGACAAGUUUGGCCCCUUCUGCAAGAGGUGGCAUUCUGCAUAUGCACAAUUGCACUUUUUACCCCAGGACAGUGGAUUCUCACUGGUGUCAAAGGUUCACCAUCAGACUCUGGUUGACUGGUCGGUUGACACCUGGAAAAGCUGAAACCUGAGAACCUCUUGUUUUCACCUUUCUGUUUCUGUGUAUGCAUCCUUUCUACAUAUACCACUAAAUCCGCACUUACUCUAUGUGGUGACCACUGUAGGGAUACAGAUUGCCAAAUGUAUUCCAUUCUGGAAAGAAUUUUCACUUGGGAAAGGCUCUCAAGAAAGUUUGAGUCUAGACUAUAAAUUGAUGAGGUGGUCGUAUUUUUUACUCUUGGAAUUUCUCAGUGUUUUUAAAUUUGGCUGUUUCUGUGCAUUUUACUGUCUCCCGUGUGACCUAAUCAGUGCUGGAGACUCUGGGCCAAGCAGGACACUGUCAGUUGUCCAAGAGCGGAGUUGCUGAAGGAGUCCCGCCUGCUUCAUUGGAAGAUACCACUGGAAGAGGGCUGGAAAAUGGUUCUGUCUGCAGUUUGGAACUUGUCAUUUCCGAGACAAACAGGGCUUCCCUCUGAAGUUAAAUGACAUUGUUUGGCACACAUAAUGUGAACUCUUGGGAGAGUUUAGACAACCUGGUGAGGUCUGAUUUGACUUGAAACCUGGAACAUGGCUUUGUUGUUAUAUUUGGCUUGUGGUUUGAUUUAAGGGUCAGCAUUACUGACUGCUCUCCCCAGUGCACUUCCAGCGCUCUGAGGCCUGGAAGGAGAGGAAUUUGCCCUGAUGGUCUGGGGAAAGAACCACAGACCCAAACUGAACAGGGACAGGACCAUGUCAUGGCUCGUCAGUUGUCUGGUUACACUCAUUUGAAUAGCACACCCCACAGGGAUUCAAGGUUAGAACACCACAUGUAGGGGCGUCUUGGUGGCUCAGUUGGCGAAGCAUCUGCCUUCAGCUCAGGUCAUGAUCUCAGGGUCCUGGGAUCGAGUCCUGCAUGGGGCUUUCUGCUCAGCAGGGAGUCUGCUUCUCCCUCUGCCCCUCCCCGUUCAUUCUCUCUCUUUCCCUCUCUCUCUCUUGCUUUUUCUCUUAAAUAAAGAAAACCUUAAACACACACAUACCACAUAUAGUGAGCAUUUGCUUAAGACCUAAUGUAAGUUUGUCCAAACAAACCCGAGCCCUUUAACUUUGCCAGGAAACAGAUAAUAAAAAUGUUUCUCAGGGUUAUAGUUUGUGCCCCAUUGUCAUUGUCAAAUGCAGUGAACUGGCUGGGGCUCCUCAGGCACCCAGUAAGCCUGCAGCUGGGAAGGCAGGCCAUCCCUCAGCGGGCACCACAGUGGGAUUGGAGAGAGGAAUAAACAUGCACAAUUCCUACAACAGGAAAGGUCCUCACGGGAUCUGCUGGUCCGGAAGUACAAGUGGUCAAAAUUCUCACGUACUGUGCUCCAUACCCUGAAGUAGGGAUGUGGAGAGGAGACCUGGCAGAGAAGACACGUAACAAAAUCCUUGAAGUACAGCAUGCUGAGUGUCGGGCCCGCUAUUCUGAAAUGAAACAGAAUAGUGUCCCUGCUCUGACAAAGCUGAAUUUUAGCGUGGGAACACUUCAGAAAGGACACAUAAAUAUGCCAUAAAGUGAUAUGUUCUGUGCAUAAAAAAAUACACGGUGCAGGUAGGCAUGUGAGGUGCAGGACGCUGGUGGACAGUGGGGACUGAACUGAAUCUCAGGUCCACAGCUAAGUGACUGUGACCUUGUGCAAGUUUCUCCACCUCUCGGCACAUCCUCGGUAAAGCAGACUCUGAUAGUACCUGCCUCAUCAGCUGUUGUGCGAGUUAUGUGACUUCAGUGUGUAAAGCACUCGCAACAUAGAACAAAUACUCAAUAGUAAGUGUGCCUGAUGUAGUGAGUCCCAAGUACUAGCUGUUAACUGCAAGUGGAGUGUGAGAAAAAGGGACUCACCCAGGACUUGAAGGUUUGCAGCCUUUGGACCACAACUGUAAAUGCCAUGUCGUUAGGAAGCACCGAGGAGUGUGUCCGCCGUGCAGGGGUGCACACAUCUGGAAGGCUGUCAGACAGGUGCGCCUUGAAUUGAGGUCUUAGAGGCCUCUGCUAACCGAUCAGCAGCAUGGGAUUCCCCAAGAAUACUUACCUCCUCCUGAAGUUUCUCAAGCCAAUGAGCAGGAAGGUACAGCACUGCCAUCCCACUGCUGUAUCCUUUCCCUGGGGAGCACAUGCCAUCCGCAGCCCCAAUCCCCCCAGCUCCCCUCCUCACCAUCCCUCCCCAACCAGAGUCCUGAGCUCCUUGUAACAGGCCACCUCCAGACGGGCUGAGGGGUGCCUGCUGUGGCCUGUGUUAGGAUGCAGUGCCCCCCACCCCUGGCUCUGCCACCCUCUAGGCUCCCUGUGUCUUCUUGCCAGCCCUUCAUGGGGUCCCCCCUUCCCUUCUGGAUCAACCCAACUUUUCUGUGAGAUGCAUAAUGGAAUGAUACAGGUUUAUGCAUCACUGUUCUUAUGAACCCCUUCCCCAGUAUUUCCUGGGACCAUGACCCGAAACACAGGUAAGAACAGACUCCCAGCUUUCCAGUUUGCAUUAGCCAUUUGCCAUUUUCCUGCUUUCCGCUCCCACAGCAGCUUCGGUGAGCCUUGUGCAGGGCCUGCCCCCCCUUCCACAGUGCCUUACAGUUCAGAAUUCCCAGUGCACUUAGUUUAGCUCCAGGCCUGAGAGUCACUGCUUGGUUACUCCUGUGAGGUAACUAGUGGGUGGGUACGUGCAGUCCAUGUCCAGAGUGACAGCCCUGCUGUCUGCUGACCACUCAGAGGCCCUGGGUUGCUGGCACAUCUUGUCUUCACAGAGUCUGUUCAGGUGGACACAUGGAUCCCGUUCUCUGUUUGUCACUCCUGCUUGUUGCCACCUUGCUUCCUUGACCCUUCUGCCCACGGCUCUUCCUUCAGCGCCAACCCCCUCUCCUUGAAUCCUAGGAAAUGUGAGCUCCUUCACAAUGUCUUAACAAAGUCACCCUCCUCCACCCAAAGUGGGGGGCAACGGGAAGCUGAGGGGCCAAGAAAAUCUUCUGUAACAAAUCUUUUUAAUAUAGUGAAUGAACAUGAAGAGGAAAAGGGAGCCUCAGUGAGACCUGUAGAAUGGAGGUGCUGUCACUCCAGAUUUGCUUGUUUUUUUAAUAAAGAUUUAUUUAUUUAGAGAGAGAGUGUGUGUGUGGGAGGGUAGGGGCAGAGGGAGAGGGAGAGAGAGAUCUCCAGCAGACUCCAUGCUGAGUGUGGAGCCCGAUGUGGGGCUCGAUCUCAUGACGCUGAGAUCGUGACCUGAGCCAAAACCAAGAGUUAGACACUUAACCGACUGAGCCACCCAGGCGCCCCCCCCCUUUUUUUAAUAAUCCAGAUUUGCUUGAAAAGAAGUCACAGGUACUUAAAAGACCCCCUGUGAGAAGGGAGG